AUCUACUACAACGAUGUGUAUACCUUUAAUCUGGACACCUUCACAUGGAGCAAGCUGUCCCCGUCAGGGACAGGCCCACACCCAGAUCAGGCUGCCAGAUGUCCGUCACUCCCCAGGGCGGCAUCAUCAUCUACGGGGCUACUCGAAACAGAGAGUUAAGAAGGACGUGGACAGGGGCACGCGGCACUCAGACAUGUUCCUGCUGAAGCCGGAGGACGGGAGAGAAGACAAGUGGGUGUGGACUCGGAUGAACCCUUCGGGGGUCAAGCCCACCCCACGGUCUGGCUUUUCUGCGGCCAUGGCCCUGAAUCACCAGACACUGUUCUUCGGGGGUGUCUGUGACGAGGAAGAGGAGGAGAGCCUGGCGGGCGAGUUCUUCAACGAUCUGUACUUCUACGACGCCACCAGGAACCGUUGGUUUGAGGGACAGCUGAAGGUAGUGCAACCUCUGAGUAGCACGCGCUGUGGUGCGCGGCCCUAACUCGGGUCCCUGCCCCCGCUGCCUCCCUCCAGCACCUUUGGGUAUCGGGGCCCCCAAAGCCCAUGAACUUUCUCAAGAGAGGCGGGGGUUCCGUCUCUGCCUGUGUCCUGGGUGACUAGGCUUGGAGAGCCCGGUCACGGUCCCCUCAGUCUGUCCUGGAUGCUGGCGGUGCUGCUGCCUCAGAAGCCAGUUGCCCUGGGCUGAGGUGCCCGGGACCUCCCCGGCCCUCUGUGUGAGAAAGGUUUGCUGGAGGUCCUGGUGUGAACCAGCCUGUGUUAUGAUGCUUGAGCUUCCCUGGUUUCCGGCACCAUCUUUACUGUCCGCCUGAGCAUAGCUGCUGUCCAGGGCCAGCCCAGCACAGGCACAACAGUGGGUGACAGUCCCAGAAGGGG
rnacentral:sRNA from 1 species